rnacentral:rRNA from 1 species
CCUACGGGCGGCAGCAGUAGGGAAUUUUGCGCAAUGGGCGAAAGCCUGACGCCGCAACGCCGCGUGAUCGAGACGCCUUUCCGGGUGGUAAGCUCCGUCAGUGGGGACGAAACUUGACGGUAUCCACAGAAGAAGCACCGGCUAACUCCGUGCCAGCAGCCGCGGUAAUACGGGGGGUGCAAGCGUUGCUCGGAAUCAUUGGGCGUAAAGAGUUCGUAGGCGGGACGGAAAGUCAGAUGUUAAAGGCGAGGGCUCAACUUCAGAACUGCAUUGGAUACUGGCGAGCUAGAGUACGGUAGAGGUAGGUGGAAUUCCUGGUGUAGCGGUGAAAUGCGUAGAGAUCAGGAGGAAUAUCGAUGGCGUAAGCGCUUUACUGGGCCAUAAUUGACGCUGAUGAGCGAAAGCCAGGGGAGCAAAUGGGAUUAGAUACCCUGGUAGUC